rnacentral:rRNA from 1 species
UUAGUUGUCAGCGAGUCAUGUCGGAUACUCUAAUGGGACUGCCGGUGACGAGCCGGAGGAAGGUGGGGAUGACGUCAAGUCAGCAUGGCCUUUAUGUCCAGGGCCACACACGUGCUACAAUGGACGGUACAGAGGGAUGCAAUGCCGCAAGGUGGAGCCAAUCCUCAAAAACCGUUCUCAGUUCGGAUUGCAGGCUGCAAUUCGCCUGCAUGAAGCUGGAAUUGCUAGUAAUCGCAGAUCAGCUACGCUGCGGUGAAUACGUUCUCGGGCCUU